rnacentral:rRNA from 1 species
CCUACGGGGGGCAGCAGUGGGGGAUAUUGCACAAUGGGGGGAACCCUGAUGCAGCGACGCCGCGUGGGUGAAGAAGCGCCUCGGCGCGUAAAGCCCUGUCAGCAGGGAAGAAAAGGACGGUAACUGAAGAAGAAGCCCCGGCUAACUACGGGCCAGCAGCCGCGGUCAUACGUCGGGGGCAAGCGUUAUCCGGAUUUACGGGGUGUAAAGGGGGCGCAGCCGGGGCUGCAAGCCAGGCGUGAAAGCCCGGGGCCCAACCCCGGGACUGCUCUUGGAACUGGGGGGCUGGAGUGCAGGAGGGGCUGGCGGAGUGCCUGGUGUAGCGGUGAAAUGCGUCGAUAUCAGGAGGAACACCGGUGGCGCAGGCGGCCUGCUGGACUGCACCUGACGUUGAGGCCCGACCGCGUGGGGAGCAAACAGGAUUAGAUACCCUUGUAGUC